CCGAGUGCGGCCCCGUUAGGGUGCCAACCUCCCAUCCGUGUCUACCGUACCACGUUGCUUCGGCGGGCCCGCCCCUAAUUAGGGGGGGCCGUCGGGGGGCAUGUGCCCCUAGGCGAGUGCCUGUCGAAGACCACACGAACGCUGUCUGAAGACUGCCGUCUGAGUGGCUUGAGAAAUCAGUCA
rnacentral:misc_RNA from 1 species